AUGGCUCCCGAGGCCACAUCUUGGCUGUCUUGGCGUCUCUCUGCAUCCUCAGCCUUCUCUGAUCAUGUGGAGCCCCCAGUGGCCCCCAUGGGUGCUUAUCUGAUGCUGUGCCAGCCACAGGCAAGAUGUGGGGACACGUUCUGUGACCCUCUGCAGCACUGCUACUAUGACAAUGCCAUCCUGCCCUCGGAUGGGACCCAGAGGGGUGGAACUGCACCUUCAGAGUCUGCUUCGAGAAGUGCUGCCCCUGGUCCCUCAUGGUGAAGAUGAAAGGCCAGAAGUGCUCCUUGACCCUGACCUCAGAUAACAGGCUUUGUCACAGGUGAGGUCCUGUCUCCUCCAUGAGAUUGUGGGUCCUGG
rnacentral:lncRNA from 1 species